GAUGAACGCUGGCGGCGUGCCUAAUACAUGCAAGUCGAGCGAACAGAUGAGGAGCUUGCUCCUCUGACGUUAGCGGCGGACGUGUGAGUAACACGUGGAUAACCUACCUAUAAGACUGGGAUAACUUCGGGAAACCGGAGCUAAUACCGGAUAAUAUAUUGAACCGCAUGGUUCAAUAGUGAAAGACGGUUUUGCUGUCACUUAUAGAUGGAUCCGCGCCGCAUUAGCUAGUUGGUAAGGUAACGGCUUACCAAGGCAACGAUGCGUAGCCGACCUGAGAGGGUGAUCGGCCACACUGGAACUGAGACACGGUCCAGACUCCUACGGGAGGCAGCAGUAGGGAAUCUGCCGCAAUGGGCGAAAGCCUGACGGAGCAACGCCGCGUGAGUGAUGAAGGUCUUCGGAUCGUAAAACUCUGUUAUUAGGGAAGAACAAUUGUGUAAGUAACUAUGCACGUCUUGACGGUACCUAAUCAGAAAGCCACGGCUAACUACGUG
rnacentral:rRNA from 1 species